rnacentral:lncRNA from 1 species
UGGAGGGAGAAUCCACGGAUAUGGAGAAGCUGACUGCAUUCUGACUGAAAAUCUCCUAGCCAGAGCUAUCUGUUUAUGGCAUGUUCUUUCUGUCUUCCAUGCUGCAGGUGAGGCAAGAGAGACAGGAUUGCAUAUGGAGGUUCUUCUGGUCCAGGUCCAGAAGUGAUGUCAUCUCUUCUUCCUGAAUUCCAUUGGCCAGAACCCAGCCACGUGACUGACUGCUCAUAGCUUCAAGGAAGGCUGGCAAAUGUAGUUUACCCGUGUGUCCUGGAAAGACAGCAAUUAGUUAUUGGUGAGCAGCUAGCAUCCUCUGCCACAAUGUCCUUUCUUCUGUUCUUCAUAUUUUACUCCACAAGCCUUUGACAUUU